rnacentral:rRNA from 1 species
UACGUAGGGUCCGAGCGUUGUCCGGAAUCACUGGGCGUAAAGGGCGUGUAGGCGGGAAGGAAAGUCAGAUGUGAAAAUCCCCAGGCUCAACCUGGGAACUGCAUUUGAAACUCCCUUUCUUGAGUACCGGAGAGGAAAGUGGAAUUCCUGGUGUAGAGGUGAAAUUCGUAGAUAUCAGGAGGAACACCAGUGGCGAAGGCGGCUUUCUGGACGGUAACUGACGCUGAGAACGCGAAAGCGUGGGGAGCAAACAGG